rnacentral:misc_RNA from 1 species
UAUCGCAGUCCAUGCUGUUAUGUACUUUAAUACUAAAGUGCUGCUUGGACUACAUAUGGUUGAGGGUUGUUAGACUACUUAAACAGUUGAUUUUAGUUAUUUUAUAGCUUAAAUCACAUGGUGUAUUGAAGGAGUUUAAUGUGUUCUACACAUAAAGCCCGCAAUACUAANAACNNUAUUAUAAAGCCUCANAAUAUGCACUUANUAUUCAUUUGAUNCNUAUNUNUAUAANGAUAAAUAGGCAAAAGAAUUAAAAAAAAUCAUAAAGCCUUAAUCUUUUAAUAUACGUGUUAAAAUAACUAAAAAAGGAAGAAAAGUGCAAUUUUGAGCAAAAAUUUUGUUUAUACAACCUCAACUCAUAUGGGAUU